UACGAAGGGGGCUAGCGUUGCUCGGAAUCACUGGGCGUAAAGCGCACGUAGGCGGCAUCGUAAGUGUCUGGUGAAAUCCCACGGCUCACCCGUGGAACUGCCAGGCAUACUGUGAUGCUCGAGUGUGGUAGGGGAGAGCGGAACUCCUGGUGGAGCGGUGAAAUGCGUAGAUAUCAGGAGGAACACCGGUGGCGAAGGCGGCUCUCUGGUCCACAACUGACGCUGAGGUGCGAAAGCUAGGGGAGCAAACGGG
rnacentral:rRNA from 1 species